rnacentral:rRNA from 1 species
CUACGGGCGGCACCAGUGGGGAAUAUUGGACAAUGGGGGAAACCCUGAUCCAGCAAUGCCGCGUGUGUGAAGAAGGCCUGCGGGUUGUAAAGCACUUUCGGUUGGGAGGACUGCUUCUAGCACUAAUAUUGUUGGAAGUUGACGUUACCUUCAGAAGAAGCACCGGCUAACUCCGUGCCAGCAGCCGCGGUAAUACGGAGGGUGCAAGCGUUGAGCGGAAGUACUGGGCGGAAAGCGCGCGUAGGCGGCUAGAUCAGUCGGGUGUGAAAGCCCCGGGCUUAACCUGGGAACUGCAUCCGAUACUGUCUAGCUAGAGUACAGGAGAGGAGAGUGGAAUUCCACAUGUAGCGGUGAAAUGCGUAGAUAUGUGGAGGAACACCAAUGGCGAAGGCAGCUCUCUGGCCUGAUACUGACGCUGAGGUGCGAAAGCGUGGGGAGCAAACAGGAUUAGAUACCCGAGUAGUC